CAAGUCGAGCGAGGGCUUAUUUCCCGCAAGGGAGAUGAGUUCCUAGCGGCGAACGGGUGAGUAACACGUGGGCAACCUUUCCUAUCGCGGGGGAUAACACCGGGAAACCGAUGCUAAUACCGCAUGUCGUCACCGGUCGCAUGGCUGGUGAAGAAAGCAGCAAUGCACGAUGGGGUGGGCCCGCGGCCUAUCAGCUAGUCGGUGGGGUAACGGCCUACCGAGGCGAUGACGGGUAGCUGGUCUGAGAGGACGGCCAGCCACACGGGGACUGAGACACGGCCCCGACUCCUACGGGAGGCAGCAGUGAGGAAUCUUCCGCAAUGGGCGAAAGCCUGACGGAGCGACGCCGCGUGUGCGAUGAAGUCCUUCGGGAUGUAAAGCACUGUCGGAGGGGAAGACAAAUGACGGUACCCUCCAAGAAAGCCCCGGCUAACUACGUGCCAGCAGCCGCGGUAAUACGUAGGGGGCAAGCGUUAUCCAGAUUUACUGGGCGUAAAGCGCGUGUAGGCGGCUGGUUAGGUGUGAUGUGAAAUCUUCCGGCUCAACCGGAAAACUGCAUUGCAAACCGGCCUGGCUAGAGUGCAGGAGAGGGAAGCGGAAUUCCAGGUGUAGCGGUGAAAUGCGUAGAUAUCUGGAGGAACACCAGUGGCGAAGGCGGCUUCCUGGCCUGCAACUGACGCUGAGACGCGAAAGCGUGGGGAGCGAACCGGAUUAGAUACCCGGGUAGUCCACGCCCUAAACGUUGUGAACUAGGUGUUGGUCGGAUUGACCCGAUCAGUGCCGCAGCUAACGCAUUAAGUUCACCGCCUGGGGACUACGGCCGCAAGGUUAAAACUCAAAGGAAUAGGCGGGGGCCCGCACAAGCAGCGGAACGUGUGGUUUAAUUCGAGGCAACGCGAAGAACCUUACCUGGGCUUGACAUGCACAGGAAAUUCUCGUGAAAC
rnacentral:rRNA from 1 species